rnacentral:tRNA from 1 species
UGGGGACGUAGGUUAGCUUGGUAUACUGCCAGCCUCGGGUGCUGGAGAUCGUGGGUUCAAAUCCCAUCGUCCCCAUUAU